UACGAAGGGGGCUAGCGUUGUUCGGAAUCACUGGGCGUAAAGGGCGCGUAGGCGGCCGAUCAAGUCGGGGUGAAAGCCUGUGGCUCAACCACAGAAUUGCCUUCGAUACUGUUUGGCUUGAGACCGGAAGAGGUUAGUGGAACUGCGAGUGUAGAGGUGAAAUUCGUAGAUAUUCGCAAGAACACCAGUGGCGAAGGCGACUUACUGGACACAUAUUGACGCUGAGGUGCGAAAGCGGUGGGAGCAAACAGGG
rnacentral:rRNA from 1 species